GCACUAGUAGCUCAAUGUCAGAGCCCCGGCCUUGUAAGUCGGCCAUCGGAGGUUAAAUUCCUCCCUAUCGCU
rnacentral:tRNA from 1 species